UACGAAGGGGGCUAGCGUUGCUCGGAAUCACUGGGCGUAAAGCGCACGUAGGCGGACUCUUAAGUCAGGGGUGAAAUCCUGGAGCUCAACUCCAGAACUGCCUUUGAUACUGGGAGUCUUGAGUUCGGGAGAGGUGAGUGGAACUGCGAGUGUAGAGGUGAAAUUCGUAGAUAUCUGGAGGAACACCGGUGGCGAAGGCGGCAUCCUGGACCGGCAUUGACGCUGAGGCGCGAAAGCUAGGGGAGCAAACGGG
rnacentral:rRNA from 1 species